UUCAGACAUCACAAGCUUUAUAGUAGGAGUUUGUAUGCCAUAAAGGAGGAGAAGGACUUCCAUUACAUUCCACAACUUCAGAGGCCACUUAUAAGGAAACUGGUGGCAUCAGGACGCGGACUCCCUCGAGUUUCAACCAUGAGACCAAAUGACCCAGGUCAGCAUGAUGUGCUGCCCGGUGUGCCGGCUCCCACCACACAGGAGCUGCUGGUGACACCAGUCAGCAGAGGCCAGGGUCAGACUUUGCAGCAAACAGAGGAAGGAAUCAUGUCUUCAGAACUCAAAAUGUUCAUAUAUCUACAGGAGCACUUUGCAAUAAAUAUAAUUUUAUAGUUAAGCACUUUUG